UACGGAGGGUGCAAGCGUUGUCCGGAUUUAUUGGGUUUAAAGGGUGCGUAGGCGGUCUUUUAAGUCAGUGGUGAAAGCCUCCAGCUCAACUGGAGAAAUGCCAUUGAUACUGGAAGACUUGUGUAUAGUUGAGGUAGGCGGAAUUGACAGUGUAGCGGUGAAAUGCAUAGAUAUUGUCAAGAACACCGAUUGCGAAGGCAGCUUACUAAACUAUAACUGACGCUGAGGCACGAAAGUGCGGGGAUCAAACAGG
rnacentral:rRNA from 1 species